AGGAGUUUAUGGAAGUCUUUUGAGUACACCUAUCAUUAACCCUCCUCAGGUUUGAUUCUGCUGGGAUAAAUAUGAUUUGCUUUUCUGUUUAGGGCUUUAAGCUUAAUUCCAUAAAUCUACUACUGCAAUGAAAUGGUUGUCAAAUCUAUUUGAAAAAUGUGUGCAUGAUUCCUGAGACUCUGUCCAGCUUUGUGUAAUUGAGUUAUUAUCUUUUGAAAACCAUAUGUUGCUCAUUUGAUGUUCAUAUUACGGCUUUGAUGAUGAGAUCAAGAGUCUUAUAAUCAAAUAUUUUAUUUGCAGUCCGCUAUUUUGGGCAUGCAUUCAAUA
rnacentral:misc_RNA from 1 species